CGUGUAGGCGGCCUCUUAAGUCUGAUGUGAAAGCCCGGGGCUUACCCCCGGAAGGGCAUUGGAGACUGGGAAGCUAGAGUACCGGAGAGGAAGGUGGAAUUCCUGGUGUAGCGGUGAAAUGCGUAGAUAUCAGGAGGAACACCGGUGGCGAAGGCGGCCUUCUGGACGGAUACUGACGCUGAGACGCGAAAGCGUGGGGAGCAAACAGGAUUAGAUACCCUGGUAGUCCACGCCGUAAACGAUGGGCACUAGGUGUUCGGGGUAUUGACCCCCUGAGUGCCGCAGCUAACGCAUUAAGUGCCCCGCCUGGGGACUACGGCCGCAAGGUUAAA
rnacentral:rRNA from 1 species